rnacentral:rRNA from 1 species
ACGCUCGACACCUACGGGAGGCAGCAGUCGGGAAUAUUGCGCAAUGGAGGAAACUCUGACGCAGUGACGCCGCGUAUAGGAAGAAGGUUUUCGGAUUGUAAACUAUUGUCGUUAGGGAAGAUACAAGACAGUACCUAAGGAGGAAGCACCGGCUAACUAUGUGCCCGCAGCCGCGGUAAUCUGAGCGGGCGGUGCAAGGC